UUGAAAAUUUAUUUUUUUUUCAUAUAUUGGAAUUUUAGGCCGGUUAUGUAGAAUUCGUCUUUCCCUUUGUUGUGCAUACAUAUGUAUAUGCAAGUGAGCAUAUAAAUGUGUUAAAACUAGUGCUAUUGUACCUCUCUUUGUUUUUUGUUACUCAAUAAACCAUAUAUGACAAUAUGAACAACUUAAUUGAGCGCCAACGUACAUGUAUAACUGAAAAUAUAUUUGUACUAUGUGAAUGAUGCACAUAACUUAAUACAAUUGUUUUUUCUGUUUGACAAUAGCCACUUGCAAAGAAUUUCUUUUGAAGCUGCACACCCACGGUACCUAAUAAUAAGGAUAUAUAUAUCAAAACAUAUUAAACUCUUACCAAAUAUAUCAGAUCGGUUUUAUAAAAAAGUAAGCAAAUAAAUUUGGUAAACAAACAAGUCAUUAAUUUAUUUCUCACAAGUAAAUAGUUAUAUAUGUGUAUAUCAUAAAAUAUAUUAAUAAUAACUCUGAAAUAUGUAUAUAUUAUAAAAAUCCAGCCAAAGACAAAGAAGAUACAACCUACCAUUUCAAUUGUGUUUAAGAAAAAUCAACGAUGUAAGUGUGGCCUCGUGUUACGUAUACUGAAGGUAUACCGGAUAGUAUACACUCAGGAUACAUUCAGUAUACGUAUACGAAGUUGCACAUGUUCACAACAACCACAAAAACUGCAAGUCACUAAAUGCACAACCAAAAUAUAUAAAAAAAUAUUGCAGUUAUGAGCUCCGUAAUUAUUGUCAUUCCAGUUUAUAGAGAUGAUUAGUUGGGGUCGCAAUGUCUUACAAUUGAUAAAGUUGCUCCAUUAGCUGAAAUUUCCUCCAUGUGUUAAAGUCUACGUAUAUACAUAUACAUAUAAAAAAUAAAUGCGCCUUCCACAACAGUCCACUGAAAACGUUAAAUCAAUUAAUUAUUUUUAACUAAAUGAAUAUAUUACUGAAGUGAAUUGUUAUUUAUUUCAUAGUAAAACUAUAAUUAGACACUAAUGUAUGUUACACCGGUAAUUAAAUUAGAUGUAAAUUAUUUGAGUUCAACCUUUAUAACACGUAUUCACAAUGACUAACUGCUCCGGCGAUUCAGCAGCAACUAAUGGACAUGGAAAUCAGGGAAAAUGCAAGCGCUCUUUACUUUACCUUACUGAAGGAUAUGCGCCGCGAGAAAACUAAAGGGAGUGUAGAGAGAGCUGAAUAAGAAAACGAAUGAGGGAGGUAUACAAAAAGUACUGUGAAAUGAAGGGCAUAAUGAUGUAGAUAAUACUAAAGUCAUAACUUUUGUAACAAAUAUUUAUAACGAUAAUAUGAGAAUUUCUAUAAGUUGAUAGUAUGUGAACAUAUCUGAUGUAACGAAAAAAGGACUUUUGAUUAAACGAAUAAGAUGGUGAAGAGGAACCAGAAACAAAACAGAGAGCGGCUUGCGUUUAGAGAGUUUUUGAGAAAAUUCACCCAUUGAGUUUGAACUUUCGAAAACAUGUCACGCUACUCUUUCGUAUACGCCGGUACAAUAAAGAAAACACAAACACACUACAGUGAAAGCUAGACAAUCGAAAACUAGUAAAAUUCUUAUCACCCUUGUAGUAACCUGACUCUGUUGCUUUCGAUGGCGAUAAACUGUGCAAAGUGCAGAUAAAACGUCGCCUUUUAUUAAACUUCAUCCAAUUUCUGUUGAAUUAUUAUGUUCAUAAUCCAUUUUACAGUUAUGCGCUGUUUGCAGCGUUUAGAAUUGGCAACAUCUGUAAUUCAAGCCAUUGCUAGUGAGCUUUGACGAUAAAAUGGUGGCGCAUGUAACUUUGGUGGUAAUGCCAUUGAAAUUGGUUUUAGUUAUACAUAUAUUGUAUAAAUAUUUACAUUUGGCGCAUACUAUAUAUAUACAUAAAUAUGGAAAUCGGAAUUUAAAAUAAAUACCUUUUUCAUAAAAACAACUUAAGCAAAAUACUCGUACAUAAGAAUUUAGAAACGAAAUUGUUUUCAAAUUCACAUUUUUUGGACUUUGCGAACUUCGUGCUCAAUACUCUAGAGCAUUGGUCACAAACUUACAUAUUUAAAUUAAAAAUUAAAUAAUUACUUUUUAAU
rnacentral:lncRNA from 1 species